AUGAAAGGUACUGUUGCAGGACAAAGUAAUAUUGGGUAGAAUUGGGAAUGCAGAAACACUCCUUGAACUAUCCAAGAAGAUAC
rnacentral:lncRNA from 1 species